rnacentral:rRNA from 1 species
GAGCGGAUGACGGGAGCUUGCUCCUUGAUUCAGCGGCGAACGGGUGAGUAAUGCCUAGGAAUCUGCCUGGUAGUGGGGGACAACGUUUCGAAAGGAACGCUAAUACCGCAUACGUCCUACGGGAGAAAGCAGGGGACCUUUGGGCCUUGCGCUAUCAGAUGAGCCUAGGUCGGAUUAGCUAGUUGGUGGGGUAAUGGCUCACCAAGGCGACGAUCCGUAACUGGUCUGAGAGGAUGAUCAGUCACACUGGAACUGAGACACGGUCCAGACUCCUACGGGAGGCAGCAGUGGGGAAUAUUGGACAAUGGGCGAAAGCCUGAUCCAGCCAUGCCGCGUGUGUGAAGAAGGUCUUCGGAUUGUAAAGCACUUUAAGUUGGGAGGAAGGGCAGUAAGUUAAUACCUUGCUGUUUUGACGUUACCGACAGAAUAAGCACCGGCUAACUCUGUG